AUUAGUGAAUUAAACAUGCUUGGUGUCUUCGCUUCGGCAAGGCCCUUGCUUAAAUCACAUCCUAACACCUGUGAACUGUAAGACGUAUGAUGAGGUCUUUGGCCAAGUCAUCGUCUGCCCAUUUUUAACAAACAAUUAAUGUAACAAACGUAGUCUUAUUAUAACCUAAUAAAACUUUCAACAACGGAUCUCUUGGCUCUCGCAUCGAUGAAGAACGCAGCGAAAUGCGAUAAGUAAUGUGAAUUGCAGAAUUCAGUGAAUCAUCGAAUCUUUGAACGCACCUUGCGCUCUUUGGUAUUCCGAAGAGCAUGCCUGUUUGAGUGUCAUGAAAAUAUCAACCUUGACUUGGGUUUUGUGCUCUAGUCUUGGCUUGGAAUUGGGUGCUUGCCGCUUUUACGAGCGGCUCACCUUAAAUGUAUUAGCUGGAUCUGUCUUUGAGACUUGGUUUGACUUGGCGUAAUAAGUAUUUCGCUAAGGACAUUCUUCGGAGUGGCCUCGUUUCUAGGACGCUUGUCCGCUUCCCAAUACAAGUUCCACCUCGUGGACAUGACUUUUUUAUUAUCUGGCCUCAAAUCAGGUAGGACUACCCGCUGAACUUA
rnacentral:rRNA from 1 species